CCACGACACUGAAUGAUCCAAGAGGACGGGGACCCUAGCUGUACCCUCAGAGCUCACCGCAGUGCCACCCACAUAAACCACCGGGAGGGAGGGUGGCUGCCUGCCCAGAGAGCUACUGCAUUCGGAAGGAGCCCGACAGAUGAGUAAUGCUAAUGAUAUAAUAAAUAGCGCGAAUGACAACACCCUGCCGUGUCCCCUGCACCUGUCUCCAAGGAGCUCAAAGCUCUCGUCAAAUCCAAGUUCCCCUCCAGACGGAAGAGGGCUUUUCUCUCCUCCAGUGAGGAUCUGAAUAUAAGAAAGGAGCUUGAGUUCCAGCCUGAGAGAGGCCAGGAGCUGGGUUUCUGCCUUGGAGACCCUCCGAUCACCCAGAGGAGGUAGACGU